ACGGGUGAGUAACACGUAGCUAAUCUACCUCAAGGCGCGGGAUAACGUGUCGAAAGACAGGCUAAUACCGCAUAAGCUCACAAAAAGUAGAGGAUUGUGAGAAAAGGCGCAAGUCACUUUGAGAUGAGGCUGCGGCCCAUCAGCUAGUUGGUGCGGUAAAAGCGCACCAAGGCGACGACGGGUAGGGGACCUGAGAGGGUGACCCCCCACACUGGGACUGAGACACGGCCCAGACUCCUACGGGAGGCAGCAGUGAGGAAUAUUGCACAAUGGGCGAAAGCCUGAUGCAGCGACGCCGCGUGGGUGAAGAAGGUUUUCGGAUCGUAAAACCCUUUUCUGUGUGACGAGCAAGGACGGUAGCACAGGAAUAAGUCUCGGCUAACUACGUGCCAGCAGCCGCGGUAAAACGUAGGAGACAAACGUUAUCCGGAGUUACUGGGCGUAAAGGGCGUGUAGGUGGUUCUGUAAGUCUGGCGUGAAAUUUCUCGGCUUAACCGAGGCAGGUCGUCGGAUACUGCAGGGCUAGAGGACGGUAGAGGCGUGUGGAAUUCCGGGUGUAGUGGUGAAAUGCGUAGA
rnacentral:rRNA from 1 species